UACAGAGGGGGCAAGCGUUGUUCGGAAUUACUGGGCGUAAAGGGCGCGUGGGCGGCCUGUUAAGUCGAACGUGAAAUCCCCGGGCUCAACCCGGGAACUGCGUCCGAUACUGGCAGGCUUGAAUCCGGGAGAGGGAUGUGGAAUUCCAGGUGUAGCGGUGAAAUGCGUAGAUAUCUGGAGGAACACCGGCGGCGAAGGCGGCAUCCUGGACCGGUAUUGACGCUGAGGCGCGAAAGCCAGGGGAGCAAACGGG
rnacentral:rRNA from 1 species